GUCAGCACCCCGCACUCUCUGUGACGGGGCCAUGCGCGGAGCGCAGGCUACGCGACUGGUGCCCCUAACUUCAGUUAGUUGACCAGCCUAAGUCUUAACUGACUACGUUUUUUGAGUUAUGACACCCUGUUGGAUGCGAUAGCGAAGCGUGGCGUCAUCCAUAGCUAGUCCCUGGCUCUGUCCUUAGUAGUUAAACAGUUUUACGAGGGGUAAGACAGUGCUACUAGCCUAACAAGCUCUUAAAACUUUGGCGUUCGCGUAGCGUGUGCGAAGCACUAAGCUAACUUUAC
rfam:Planktothrix agardhii NIVA-CYA 126/8 chromosome, whole genome shotgun sequence.